ACACGCAUGAGCCGGUGCCAAUCCGCCCGUGCCAGGUCCGAGAGUCCUGCUUCAGCAGCACUCAAAGUGAUUUCGGCGCGACGGCGGAGUUGCUGAGAUUACACGGCUUCGGAACUUGAUCUUGGAUAAUACCAGCGAAAGGAUCAUGCGUCUCCCCCCC
rnacentral:ncRNA from 12 species